CAGAGGGUGCGAGCGUUGUCCGGAAUCACUGGGCGUAAAGGGCGCGUAGGCGCGGGGGAAGUCCAUGGUGAAAGCUCGCGGCUCAACUGCGAGUCGGCCACGGAUACUCUUUCGCUCGAGCACUGUAGAGGCAGAUGGAAUUCCGGGUGUAGCGGUGGAAUGCGUAGAGAUCCGGAAGAACACCGGUGGCGAAGGCGGUCUGCUGGGCAGUAGCUGACGCUGAGGCGCGACAGCGUGGGGAGCAAACAGGAUUAGAUACCCUGGUAGUCCACGCCGUAAACGAUGGGCACUAGGUGCUUGGGGGAGCGACCCUCUGAGUGCCGGCGCUAACGCAUUAAGUGCCCCGCUUGGGGAGUACGGCCGCAAGGCUG
rnacentral:rRNA from 1 species